rnacentral:rRNA from 1 species
CCACCACGGCGCACCCUUUGAAGUUUGAUCCCUGGGUCCAGGGACGAAACCGCUGGGCGGCGUGGGUUAACACCAUGCAAAGUCGAACGGAUGAAAGCCCCAGCUUGCUGGGGUGGAUUAGUGGGCGAAACGGGUGGAGUAACACCGUGGGUGAUCUUGCCCUGCACUUCGGGGAUAAACCUGGGAAACUGGGUUUAAUACCCGGAUAGGACCUCGGGGUGCAUGUUUCGGGGUGGAAAGGUUUUCCCGUGCAGGAUGGGCCCCGCGGCCUAUCAGCUUGUUGGGGGGUAACGGGCCCCCAAGGCGACGACGGGUAGCCGGCCUGAGAAGGCGACCGGCCACCCUGGGACUGAGGCACGGCCCAGACUCCUACGGGAGGCAGCAGUGGGGAAUAUUGCACAAUGGGCGCAAGCCUGAUGCAGCGACGCCGCGUGAGGGAUGACGGCCUUCGGGUUGUAAACCUCUUUCAGUACCGACGAAGCGCAAGUGACGGUAGGUACAGAAGAAGCCCCGGCCAACUACGUGCCAGCAGCCGCGGUAAUACGUAGGGUGCGAGCGUUGUCCGGAAUUACUGGGCGUAAAGAGCUCGUAGGCGGUUUGUCGCGUCGUCUGUGAAAACCCGCAGCUCAACUGCGGGCUUGCAGGCGAUACGGGCAGACUUGAGUACUGCAGGGGAGACUGGAAUUCCUGGUGUAGCGGUGAAAUGCGCAGAUAUCAGGAGGAACACCGGUGGCGAAGGCGGGUCUUUGGGCAGUAACUGACGCUGAGGAGCGAAAGCGUGGGUAGCGAACAGGAUUAGAUACCCUGGUAGUCCACGCCGUAAACGGUGGGCGCUAGGUGUGGGUUUUCCUUUCCACGGGAUUCCGUGCCCGUAGCUUAACGCCAUUUAAGCGCC